rnacentral:rRNA from 27 species
CUCCUGGGAAGUCCUCGUGUUGCACCCC